rnacentral:rRNA from 1 species
UACGGGGGGGGCAAGCGUUGUUCGGAAUUACUGGGCGUAAAGGGCUCGUAGGUGGCCAACUAAGUCAGACGUGAAAUCCCUCGGCUUAACCGGGGAACUGCGUCUGAUACUGGAUGGCUUGAGUUCGGGAGAGGGAUGCGGAAUUCCAGGUGUAGCGGUGAAAUGCGCAGAUAUCAGGAAGAACACCAACGGCGAAGGCAGCUCGCUGGGACGGUACUGACGCUGAGACGCGAAAGCGUGGGGAGCGAACAGG